GCUUGCUGGGUUGAACCUAGAAUUAAUUAAAUCAAAUAAAAAAUGAUAUUAAAAUGGAAUUUUUGUAUUUAAAAUUAAUUAUUUAUUAUUAAUUAAAUUAUAUCAACACACCAUCAGCAAAUCCUGUUUUAACAGCUCAUGCGCAAAUUCUGUCACAUUUGAUAGACCAAUCAUAACACAGUAGCAGAGAACGGCCAGCCAAUCAAAGCACACCGGCUGAGUCACGAGAGCUAAUCAAGGAAUAAAAACAAACCUGUCAAGAGGGGCGAACGGAAAAUGUGUGAAGGAUUUACUUUGUUUGUCGAGUUUCUCCCGGUGAAGUGCAUGUCAGCAGCCAGAAGACAUGGAGGUGAUCCGUUCUGAAGCCGAAGCCGCUCAUGACGACACUGUGCAGGACGCAGAGGAGGCUAAGAUCUGCACUGCCAUGCUAUGGAGCAUCCAGGAGGCCGUUCAGAGACAGACGCUGCAGAUCGGGGUGUCAGCGUGCGGAGCCACAGCGGUAGUGGACGUCCUGCAGGCACUGGGCAUCACGGUGACUCCAGAGAUGGUGAACCACAGCGUGAGGACGAGACUGAGGAGGAACGAGGCGCCGCUGCCUGAUUACCUGCAUUCUCGCAGCAUGGCUGUAAGUGAAGAGGAGGUUCAUGAGCGUCUGUGCAGCGAGUCUGUGCUUCUCAUUCGCCGUGAGGAUGUUCUGAAGAGACUGACGCCAGGCAUUCAUCUAUCACAGAUCUCAGAUCAGCAUCCUGAUCUGCGCUGGAAAACAUUAAAUGUGGAGGGUCAAGUUAGACAGAUGGUCAGCGAGGAAGAGCAGAAUGAUGAAGACCAGGCUAAGAUGACACAUCUUGUGAUUCCAGCAGCGUACAGCUCUGGAGUGACUUUCUUCGCUCUUAGAGACUCUGAUGUUGGGCAAGAGCUUCUCAGCAGCCCAGAUCUGCCUCUGCUGUAAUUUUAGUCUCAUACCUGCUUAUGAAAUUAACAGUUAAUUAAGUUAUUCCUGACACGGGAUCAGUAUUUAUCUCUGUUUUUAUUCUUGGGAUUUUAAAUAGAUGUUGUCAUCCUGCUCUGAUUUGUGUUGACAAUACUGAUUCAUUGAUUUUUGUGUUUUUUUGAGACUGUAAUGUUUGACAGCAUCAUGUUUAUCAAAUAAAAGGCAAUAAAUGUACA
ensembl:lncRNA